UAAAUCUAUUCAAGAAUAGGUGCAAAUUUGUUAAAAGGGAAUUCGGUUCAAAUCCGAAGCUGUUUCCGCAACUGUAAGUGCUGAUGAAAUAAAAGAAAGACCACUGUUAUGUUCAAAUAAUGGGAAGGUUUUUAGAGUAAAAUGACGCACAAGCCAGGAUACCUGCCUCUUCUUAAACGUAUGU
rnacentral:ncRNA from 2 species